GGCAGCCAUCAGAUAAGCCAAGAUGGGUGCAUACAAGUACAUCCUGGAGCUAUGGAGAAAGAAGCAGUCUGAUGUCAUGCGCUUUCUUCUGAGGGUCCGCUGCUGGCAGUACCGCCAGCUAUCUGCUCUCCACAGGGCUCCCCGCCCCACCCGGCCUGAUAAAGUGCACCGACUGGGCUACAAACAAGGCCAAGCAAGGUUACGUUAUAUAUAGGAUUCGUGUAUGUUCGCCGUGGUGGCUGAAAACGCCCAGUUCCUAAGGGUGCAACUUACAGCAAGCCUGUCCAUCAUGGUGUUAACCAGCUAAAGUUUGCUCGAAGCCUUCAGUCCGUUGCAGAGGAGCGAGCUGGACGCCACCAUGGGGCUCUGAGCGUCCUGAAUUCUUACAGGGUUGGUGAAGAUUCCACAUAAAAAUUUUCUGAGGUUUCUUUCUUUCUGUCUUUCUUUCUUUCUUUCUUUUCUUUCUUUCUGUCUUUCACAGGAUCUUGCUUUGUUGCCCAGGCUGGAUGCAGUGGUAUGAUCUUCUAUUUCUUCCAGGGCUUCACCUCUAAAAUUUGUUUAGGUGUUUCUUUUGUACAUCCAUGGGCUCGUGCAUUCGCUAUCAGGCACUUUUUGCCAUGUUGUGGUUUCCCAUCGACUUGUCUGUCUUCCCCACCAAAUUAUAAACUCCAUGAGGACAGGACAAAGUCUGUUCACAGCUGCAUCCCUGGUGCCUAGCUCUGGGCCUGGCACACAGGAGGUACAGAAAAAGAGUGAAUCCCGUUAAAUUAGAGCAGCAAUGGAAAUCUGUGAUCUUCCUGGGAAGAUUAUGCCACAGAAGACCCCUCAAAGUAUCAAACAGAGGGUCUUUUGCUCCCCUAUUUUCCAGAAUUGCUUUCAUCGAGACAUGUUCUCAGUAGUAACAGUGGUGAUAGCAGACAUAGUCAUUGCAUUUCUUUCACAGCAGGGAACAUUUAUUGAGCACUCUCUGUGUACCGUGCACUGCACCAGCCAACUCAGGAGCAUCAUCUCAUUUCAUCCUCACGCAAUCUGUGAGGCAGGGCUGCUGCUAAUCCCAUGGCACUGGAGGAAACUGAAGCUCAAGGUGGUGGAUCCACUCCCACCUAUGGGAAAAUCCAGAGUCACACAGCUACAAGAAGAGCCCAAACCUGCCUGGCUUCAAAACAGGUGGUGAGCUCCCCAUUGCUGGAGGUAUCCAAGAGUCUGCCGAGGGACUUCAAGUAUUCAGGAAGGGGGAGACCCCAAGAUCAAUGCCCCGUGGAUAGUCUCCAUCUUCAACAGGGUUUCUCAAUAUUGGUGCUAUUGAGAUUGUGAACUGGAUAAUUCAUUGCUGUAGAGAAGAUUGUCCUGUGCAUUGUGGGAUGUGGAGCAGCAUCCCUGGUCUCUGCCCAGCAGACGCUGGUAGCACCUCCUCAAUCACGGCAACCAAAAACAUCUCAAGACAUGGCCAAAGGUCCCCUUUCCAGCGUGAAUUGAUUUUUAAUAGCAAAAUGGCAUUUUACACAGAAGCAGCUACAUUCAUGGAUGAAAACAAAAAUCCAAGUGACGCUCCUUUGUUGAAUCCAUGUAAAAAUCUGAUUUUUAAUCUACAGAGAAAUUUCUACCCACACAUUCGGUAUCCCCUGGGGGUAAUGACAUGGAAAACAAACAUCUUUUCUGGUCUGUUAAAGUAAAACAAUGGGUCCCUGGAUAGACUCUCAAGAGGGCCUUUGAUGGAAUGGAACCAGUCCCCCCACCCCGAAAGCAUCCCCCCAGCUCAACAUGUCACCAUUUACACCAGCACAGCCCUCACAUUGGGUCCACAGCACAACCUAUUAAGAAAGGAUUAUAACACCUGUUCGGAUUGGGAGGCCAAUUCCUCAGCUCUAAGAUCCUGCUCAUAGCAAGCUUGAUGUUCAGUAGACUCCAAAGCAGACUGAAUGAGGGAGGGGUCGAAGAGAAUGUGCCUGCUUGGGCUCAGCCUCCUCUAAUAUUGUCAAGAUGCACACACACUCUUAGAAUCUCACAACCUUUUUAGGUGUCUGCCAUGUGCUGAGACCCUUAUAUUGACGGGAAUCCUCACUGCAACCUGUAAGGUAUCAGAACUCGCAUUCUACCACUGAGGAAACUGAGGUUGAGAGAAGUGAGGUGACUUACUCAAACUCACUCAACAGGAAGUGGCAGAGUUGGUGAGUCUUAUUUGCAUUCUCUGUCCUGGAACGUGGGUCUGCACAAAGAUCCCAGCCCAUAGGCAGAGCCUUCUGGAGCCUUGGCUGCCCCCAUAUCCCAGCCCCUUGAAAGGCCCAUGAGCUGCACAGUUAGUAGGAUCUGGCUGCGGGGGGGUGGUUAGUAGGGCAUGCUCGGGCCUGGUUAGUGGGUUAGUUGGUUGGCAGAAGGCCAGGCACCUCGUCACACGCCACAGCGUCCCGGCUGAGCCCUGGGUUAGUAGGUUAAUCACACCAUGCAACACUGCCCCGGCCCCUCCAGCUGCAGCUUCAGAGGCCUCCCGUUUUUUUUUUUUUUUUUAAGGAGCAAUGACAUUUCCUAGAAGUUACUUUAAGAAUUUCCCUAGAGGGUCGGGUAUCAUCUCAGCCAGAUCUUUCUCAUCCUUCAAGGCCCUGUUUGGUACAGCUUGCUAGGAAGCUGUUCCAGACUGCAGCAGCCCUCUCUGGGGUCUCUCUACCACUUCCCAGGCACUCAGAACUUGUGCCUCAGUAGACUGUUUUGUGGCACUGUCCCAUUCUCUGAUUCUCCAUGUGAGCUGGUUUUAUCCCAUCCAGCAUGGCUGUGAAAUCCUAAAGGUUCAAACCCCAGCCACUCUUCACCUAUAUUUCCCCCAAAUGGCUAGCACGGGAAAGGGCCCAAAGUAGGUGCUCAGUGCUGAUGAGAGAGUAGAAUUUAAAUACCCCAGGAAGCAUUGUGAGUUACUACGGAGGCCAUGAAAUGCUGCCACCUCCCCAAGCUGAUUAAAGAGUGAUACUAGGAAAAUAGGUAGGGAAGGGCUAAUCAGAAAUGCCUCUGGUUCAGAAGAUGCUGAGAAUAUGGUGAUAUUAGUGUCUUUAUAAGAAGAGGAGGAGACACCAGAGCCUGCUCAUGCUCUCUGUCCCUCUCCACAGAGAAAAGGCCAUGUGAGGACAUAGUGAGAAGGUGCCACCUGCAAGCCAAGGAGAGAGGCCUCACCAGAAACCAAGUCUUAACACCUUGAUCUGGACUUUCCAGCCUCCAGAACUGGCAGAAAAUAAAUUCCUGAUGUUUAAGCCAUCCAGUCUGGCAUGGUGCUGUGGCAGCCCAAGCUGAUGAAUAGUACACACCACUCCGCAUUCUGGGAAAAAGGACAUCUGGCUUUUAAACUUGCCUAAGGGAGGCCACAAGCUGCUCUCUUGCAAACGCUGGGACUGUCUCCUCUGGAGGGAGCUGGAAUUGCAGAUUGUGGGGCCUGUCCUGCCACCUUCUGUUCCCCAAGAACAGAAUCCAGGAGCAGUGCAACUAGAAGCAGCGAUCUGAUUGGAGAAGAGUGUCCUGAGACUGGGCUAAGGUGACCCCUUAAGCCUUUGGGUAAGACUGGUUCCCUUUGG
rnacentral:lncRNA from 1 species